rnacentral:rRNA from 1 species
UACGUAGGGUGCAAGCGUUGUCCGGAAUUAUUGGGCGUAAAGAGCUCGUAGGCGGUCUGUCGCGUCUGGUGUGAAAACUCGGGGCUUAACUCCGGGCCUGCAUCGGGUACGGGCAGACUAGAGUGCGGUAGGGGAGACUGGAAUUCCUGGUGUAGCGGUGAAAUGCGCAGUUAUCAGGAGGAACACCGGUGGCGAAGGCGGGUCUCUGGGCCGUAACUGACGCUGAGGAGCGAAAGCGUGGGGAGCGAACAGG